UACAGAGAGUGCAAGCGUUAAUCGGAAUUACUGGGCGUAAAGCGCGCGUAGGUGGAUAACUAAGUCAGAUGUGAAAGCCCUGGGCUUAACCUAGGAAUUGCAUCUGAUACUGGUCAUCUAGAGUAUGGUAGAGGGAAGUGGAAUUUCCGGAGUAGCGGUGAAAUGCGUAGAUAUCGGAAAGAACACCAGUGGCGAAAGCGGCUUCCUGGACCAAUACUGACACUGAGGCGCGAAAGCGUGGGGAGCAAAC
rnacentral:rRNA from 1 species